GGGGAAUAUUGGACAAUGGGGGCAACCCUGAUCCAGCGACGCCGCGUGUGUGAAGAAGGCCUGCGGGUUGUAAAGCACUUUUAGUGGGGAUGAAAAGCCAAGGGCCAAUACCCUUUGGUCUUGACCUAACCCAAAGAAAAAGCACCGGCUAACUCUGUGCCAGCAGCCGCGGUAAUACAGAGGGUGCAAGCGUUAAUCGGAAUUACUGGGCGUAAAGCGUGCGUAGUCGGUUAUUUAAGUCGGAUGUGAAAUCCCCGGGCUCAACCUGGGAAUUGCAUUCGAUACUGGAUAGCUAGAGUUCGGCAGAGGGAAGCGGAAUUUCGGGUGUAGCGGUGAAAUGCGUAGAUAUCCGAAGGGACAUCAGUGGCGAAAGCGGCUUCCUGGACCAGAACUGACGAUCAGGCACGAAAGCGUGGGGAGCAAAC
rnacentral:rRNA from 1 species